AGAAGAUUAAUUUUGUAGACUACUAUAGCAUUUAUGUUAGACCUAGAAGAUUCAUUAAGAAAAAUAACACUGAAUCUGACAUAUUUUAGCUACAUGCAACACCCAAAGGGAUGUGCAUGCCAUGGUUUCAAACAACGGAAUUAAUUACUGUGUAUAUCACAUGAUCAAACCAACUCAAACUGAAUUGAACUGCAGCGUGCAGCCACCACUAAUAUGAAUUUUUUU
rnacentral:misc_RNA from 1 species